CCGCCACCGAAAUGCCUGCCGACGUUGUCGGCGACAUGCCCAGGUAGCCCGCGGUCCUUGAGGCUACGGCGCAGUCUUCUGCGCUGACCGCUCCCCGUUCGCUCCGCAUCCUGGCCGCGAACAAUCACCUCUGCGUGGUGGUGGAUGC
rfam:Herminiimonas arsenicoxydans chromosome, complete sequence.